UUUAAAAUCUGCCCGCUUUUUGAGCAAUAAUUAAAUGUUUUCUUUGACCGUUGGCAGUUAUGUAUUGCGUGUAUCUAUGUGUCUGUUUUGUGUGCUUAGUGUAGGGGAAGCAGUGGAAUGUGUGGAGUUAGACUCUUUGGGGGAGGUCAAGUGGGUGUUUCCUUUUGAGCCGUCUUGUUGUUGAGUUGUUGUUUAAAAGGCUGGUGGCAAGAUUAUUUGGGUGGUUGCCUAGUCUGGCGAAGUAUCGAUCACUCAGCUUGGCAAUAACCUCCUUUACCCAAGGUAUAUUAAGCUGGCUGUGAAUUACCUUAUCAUGGUUGCUCUUGCUGGCGGUACCCCAAAGAUGGAUGAACAAAAAAACAGCAAUUGCGAACUCGGCGAGGAUUGAUGUACUGGGAUGUUCCAUAAAAUUAUAUACGUUUGGUAGAUAUGUGAGCAAAAUGUAGCUUAAGAAACCUAUUAUAGAAGAGACAAACCCCUAAAAUACUAACAU